rnacentral:tRNA from 1 species
AACUAUAUAGUUUAACUAAAACAUUACAUCUUCAAUGUAAAAAUAAUUUACCAAAAUUUAUAAUUA